UUUGUAACACCCAAAGUCGGUGAGGUAACCAUUUAUGGGGCCAGCCGCCUAAGGUGGGAUGGAUGAUUGGGGUGAAGUCGUAACAAGGUAGCCGUAUCGGAAGGUGCGGCUGGAUCACCUCCUUU
rnacentral:rRNA from 1 species